GACGAACGCUGGCGGCGUGCCUAAUACAUGCAAGUAGAACGCUGAAGGAGGAGCUUGCUCUUCUGGAUGAGUUGCGCACGGGUGAGUAACGCGUAGGUAACCUGCCUGGUAGCGGGGGAUAACUCUUGGAAACGAUAGCUAAUACCGCAUAAGAGUAGAUGUUGCAUGACAUUUGCUUAAAAGGUGCAAUUGCAUCACUACCAGAUGGACCUGCCUUGUAUUAGCUAGUUGGUGGUGUAACGGCUCACCAAGGCGACGAUACAUAGCCGACCUGGUAGGGGGAUCCGCCACACUGGGACCGAGACACGGGCCAGGACCCUACGGGGGGCAGGAGGAAGGAAACUUCGGCAAUGGACGGAAGGCUGACCGGGCAACGCCGGGGGAGGGAAGAAGGUUUUCGGAACGGAAAGAUCUGUUGUAAGAGAAGAACGAGUGUGAGAGUGGAAAGUUCACACUGUGACGGUAUCUUACCAGAAAGGGACGGCUAACUACGUG
rnacentral:rRNA from 1 species